rnacentral:rRNA from 1 species
GGUGAACGCUGGCGGCGUGCCUAAGACAUGCAAGUCGAGCGGGCCGCGGGGUUUUACUCCGUGGUCAGCGGCGGACGGGUGAGUAACGCGUGGGUGACCUACCCGGAAGAGGGGGACAACCCGGGGAAACUCGGGCUAAUCCCCCAUGUGGACCCGCCCCUUGGGGUGUGUCCAAAGGGCUUUGCCCGCUUCCGGAUGGGCCCGCGUCCCAUCAGCUAGUUGGUGGGGUAAUGGCCCACCAAGGCGACGACGGGUAGCCGGCCUGAGAGGGUGGCCGGCCACAGGGGCACUGAGACACGAGCCCCACUCCUACGGGAGGCAGCAGUUAGGAAUCUUCCGCAAUGGGCGCAAGCCUGACGGAGCGACGCCGCUUGGAGGAAGAAGCCCUUCGGGGUGUAAACUCCUGAACCCGGGACGAAACCCCCGACGAGGGGACUGACGGUACCGGGGUAAUAGCGCCGGCCAACUCCGUG